CUACAGGCUACAGACAACAACCACCAGUAAGGACACUGGGGUGCUGGCUACACACCGACACAUGCAGACCUCGAGCCCUUGCUCCCAGCAGCAACCACAGAAGCAGCAGUUGAAGGGGAAGGAAAGAAACACACACUUCAGGGAGGACAUCAGCCCUUGGUGGCAGAGGGAAUGGACGGGAGCUGCAGUGCAGCUCCGGAAGAAUGACAGCUGAAUCCUUCUCACCCCCAGCCUUUCAAACAAGCAGCUCCAACCCACUGCAGCGUUAUGGGUAAUCAGUGUCUGCUUAGAGUAAAUCAUAUCUCAAAAUUUAGAGCUGGCUCCUCGUCCACGGACGCCUCAGGAAGUUGAGAAGUGUGGGAAGGACUUUUCUGUUCUGAAUGAAUGGAAAAAAAUCAAAUAUUUGGAGGAAAGGCAGUCUCAAAUAAUAAAUAAUGCAGAAACUCCAAUAUAGCUUUUAAAGCUUCAGUGCCCUUAUAAUUUAAUGUUUAAAUGCUAUGCUGUUCCUUUGGAAGCCUUUUCUAUCUCACUGCUGAUGAUGGUCUGUCUUCUCAGACGCUUGAAUAAUGUCUCUCUUCCUCUUCUAACAUCUUCCUUGACUACCCCUCAUGCAUAGUAAUGCUAAUAAUCGUGCAGCUUUCGGUGACAUUUUUCUUCUUUUAAAUUAAUGCCUAGUUUUAUGCAGGGCUGCUCUGCUCAGCGCCUCGCCUCCUGCACACCUCCUUCUCUUCACAACGUACCUGUGUACGUACAAAAGUCUAUUUACUGCUGCCCAUUAUGAGCUGUUCAUGUUCCAUUUAGCAGUAUGCAGGAGAAUCAAGCUAAUUGAUUACUUAUAUUGAAUAAAUUG